GUGGGGAAUCUUGCGCAAUGGGCGAAAACCUGACGCAGCCAUGCCGCGUGAAUGAUGAAGGUCUUAGGAUUGUAAAAUUCUUUCACCGGGGACGAUAAUGACGGUACCCGGAGAAGAAGCUCCGGCUAACUUCGUGCCAGCAGCCGCGGUAAUACGAAGGGGGCUAGCGUUGCUCGGAAUUACUGGGCGUAAAGGGCGCGUAGGCGGACAGCUUAGUCAGAGGUGAAAGCCCAGGGCUCAACCUUGGAAUUGCCUUUGAUACUGGCUGUCUUGAGUUUGGGAGAGGUGAGUGGAACUCCGAGUGUAGAGGUGAAAUUCGUAGAUAUUCGGAAGAACACCAGUGGCGAAGGCGACUCACUGGCCCAAUACUGACGCUGAGGCGCGAAAGCGUGGGGAGCAAACAGGAUUAGAUACCCUAGUAGUCC
rnacentral:rRNA from 1 species